rnacentral:rRNA from 1 species
UACGGAGGGUGCGAGCGUUGUCCGGAAUCACUGGGCGUAAAGGGCGCGUAGGCGGCCUGGCAAGUGGAAGGUGAAAUCCCUCGGCUUAACCGAGGAACUGCCCUCCAAACUGCUUGGCUUGAGUCCGGGAGAGGUGAGUGGAAUUCCCAGUGUAGCGGUGAAAUGCGUGGAUAUUGGGAGGAACACCAGUGGCGAAGGCGGCUCACUGGACCGGAACUGACGCUGAGGCGCGAAAGCGUGGGGAGCAAACGGG